GGCAACUCAUUCUCAAGAUUUUCACAGCUCUUCAUUGUUCCAGCAAGUAAGCAAUAAGAUAAAUUCCAAUUAAAAGCAUUAUCUUAUCAAUCAAUCAAAACUUUUUAAACAAUGAAUUAGACAAACAAUUAAACUUUUUUAAUUCCUAAACUCAACAAGUGACUACAGUUACGCUAUUGACUAUUACCCAUCCCCCACCAAUGAAUCAAAAGAAACUGUACCUGAUUUUAUUAAAUUUUAUGAUGAUGCUACAACAGAUAGACACAUAAUCAAUUAUGGUUAAACAGGUCAAGAAACAAAAUUGAAUAAAUUUAUCAUAUUCAAAGUAGAAUCAAUCAGAGAGACAGUAGAAGAAACAAUGGGCACCGGCUCUAAGUGACAUGCUUAUUGUGUUGUGAUGAAGACGAUGACGACGGCUUGGAUCAAAAGUUCCAAAAUUAGGAUUACUAUUAUUAUUUUUUGGAUGCAACCUUUAUUUAUAGUCGUCAUAAUUUCUUGUUGCCUAGGUUAG
rnacentral:lncRNA from 1 species